AACCUGCGCGAAACGAAACCGGCGGUGGGCGGCGGUCGGGUGAGUAGUGCCUAGGAAAUUGCCCUGAUGUGGGGAAUAACCAUUGGAAACGAUGGCUAAUACCGCAUGAUGCCUACGGGCCAAAGAGGGGGACCUUCGGGCCUCGCGCGUCAGGAUAUGCCUAGGUGGGAUUAGCUAGUUGGUGAGGUAAGGGCUCACCAAGGCGACGAUCCCGAGCUGGUCUGAGAGGAUGAUCAGCCACAAUGGAACUGUGACACGGUCCAGACUUCUACGGGGGGCAGCAGUGGGGGAUAUUGCACAAGGGGAGCAAGCCUGAUGCAGCCAGGCCGCGGGUGUGAAGAAGGCCGUCGGGUUGUAUAGCAGUUUCAGUCGUGAAGGAGGUAGUGUAGAUAAUUGCUGCAUUAUUUGACG
rnacentral:rRNA from 1 species